CUUUUUCUUCUUCUUCUUCUUCUUCAUCUUCU
rnacentral:sRNA from 1 species